UGACUUAGUAACUUGUUCUGCCUCUUUCUUAUUUUAGGGUAUGACUCUAUCAGAAUAGGGAGUCUCAACCAGUAAGCGCAUCCCCAGAGGUGAGAAGAAAAUGGUUUCGCCACAGUUUAUAUAAAAUUAACAUAAUAUCAAAGCGAUAAAGCAUUUAGCACAUUCAAAAUGAAACAUGUAGGAAAAUCAGAUAAAGCCCAAGUAUAAAAAUUAUUGUAAGCUCGAAUUCUUAAACCCAGAAUUGAUGUUCUGGGUUUGUUUCCCUAGCAGAG
rnacentral:lncRNA from 1 species